GCGGAAGUGGCUCAGUGGUAGAGCAUCGCCUUGCCAAGGCGAGGGUCGCGGGUUCGAGUCCCGUCUUCCGCUCCA
rnacentral:tRNA from 19 species